AAACGUAGUUUAUAAAUGUUUGUGCAUUCAUCUUGAUACCUUCACCUAACAACAAAGAAACAUAGUUUGCAUUUAAAUUUGGUUAUAAAUGCAAAUGUUGUCUGAAAUAAUUACACAUCACUUCAAAUUUGGAAGGAACACCAGAUGAUCUUAAACUGUGAUUGGUCAAAUUUGACAGUGGAGAGCGAGAAUUGGGAGACAGUUGUGUAUUCAUGUUGAAUACAGAACCUUAAAACCCAAAAAAAAGUAUGUCAAUGGUCCAUUGCAGAAGAACCAAUCACAUUUUCUAUAUCUAUGUUCAAAUUUCUAAUUAGACAAAAAUAAUUACUUUUAAAUUCAAAUCUGGAAGUCAUAUCGGAAUAUCUUAAACUCUGAUUGGUGAGAAGCUUGUGUAUUCAUGCUGGGUACAGAACCUUAAAACAAUAUUUGAUAAUGUCAAUUUCGAUUGCAGAAGAAGAGUUCAACAGUUCCUAUUAAAAAAAUUCAGAAAGCAAUAUACCCUUCAUUGGUGUUUUCCAAACCAAUGACUCAGAGAGAAGUGAUUUCCCAUGCCUUCCGCGUAAACCACCAAGAUUAGCAUUAGUGUGUGGACCUGGAAGAAGUCCAGAUUUCACUUUAUUAGUUUGGAAUUACUGGUCAAAUUUAGACAUUAUAUCAUCAUUAUAAAUGAAAUGGAUUUUUAAAGUGAGAACAUGCAACUUUAUGGACCAUACUCUAAAUUGAUGGAAGACACAAAGGACGUCUAGGAGUAACAGAACAAUCUGGAUUAGUGGAAGACAACAAACCUAAUAUAACAAAAUAAAAGAUUUAAGAUAGAUACAAUGAUUGUUUCCCGGGAGUGUUAAUCAAAUCACCUUUAAUAAUAUGUUUGUGAUGUAUAAAUGGGGAGCUGUAAAUAAACUAAAACUUAUAAAUAGUAGAGAGAAAACACUCACCAGGAUUAUGAGGAUUAUGAUGCUGACCUUCAUUUGGUUCAGUGUUUUCUGUAUUGCUAUAAACCAUCUGCCUUCUUCUUUUUCAUGUGGAACCUUUUUCAGACAUGUUAGAUCAAACACAUCAUUAGCACUUUAACAAACAUAGGUUUUUACCUGCUUAAUUGAGCAGAGGGACGUGAAAUCACCAGAACCAUCACUGUUUAAGAAUGGAGAGUUGUCAAGAUUUAGAUGAUUAUAAUUAACCUGUAAAAUAAAAGAUCAACAAUGAAAUUUACAUAUCUCGGUCCCUAGAAUGGCUGAAACUUGUGCUAUGGUGAGGAAAAAAUGUGGAUACCUCUUUCAUGGAGAGAGAAGAUAGAUGAAAUGCUCUUCUUCUCCAGUAUUAAAUUUUAACGCAGUAUGUGUUCUGGAUUCAAAUCCCUAGUCAAACCUAAUACCAUCUGCAAAGGGCUACAGGAGAGGAAAAGGAAUAGACCUCCCUAAAUUUUGACAGUGAAUGGAAAUCUUGUCUGCA
rnacentral:lncRNA from 1 species